AAAAACCGAGAAACCGAAACCGAUCACCGAAGAACCGGAAACCGAAGCCGAUUGGACCGAAACCGAAGAACCGUUUAAAACUUCGGUCAGCAAACUCAAAGAACCGAAGUUUGUUCGGUUAAUUCGGUCUCUUGCCUCGGUUAACCGAAAAAACCCGAAAACUGAAGUUCAUUGCUGCAUCUUUAAAAUUUAAUGUUUUCAUUGCAUGUUAGAUGAUAUUUACUCAUUAC
rnacentral:lncRNA from 1 species